CGCGCGCUCUUUUUCUCGCGCUCGUUCGUUUCGGAUAAAAGCGGCUCGACGUCGUCGUGGCGUCGUCUUCAUUCACGAGCAUCGUCAUGAAGUUUGCGUACCUGCCGGCGUUCCAGCUCGUCCUGCUGCUGCUCGUCUUCGAGGCGUCAGCGCGAAGCGAGAUUGAGAAUGCGGACGCGGACGCACACCACGUCCGAUCCAAGCCCGAAGGGAACGUGGGAGAGGAGAUAACGAAACAUUCACAGCAAGCUGCCACCGCGCACCGUCCGAAUUGUCCACCAGAGGUUGCUGAGCGACCACCGCCGCCAUCGCCUUAUCACGGGCAGAGACCACCACAUGGUCAUGGCCAGCGACCACCACAUCAUAAACCGCAAUCCAAUGAAGAGUCCAGCGAAGAAUCCAGUAAAUCUGAUGAUCGUCAAUAUCUUAUCUGAGGAUCGCUAUUAGUUGAAGAAGUGAUAAGGUGGAGGCUUGGUCUAAGAAGUCUAAGUCGAUUGGAUGUUGCUGCAUUUAAUGCGUCGUUCUACUGUAGUCUAAAUCUUCGGGUUUAUUGUAAAUUAUAUUAUUAUUGCAGAACA